rnacentral:rRNA from 1 species
GUUUGAUCAUGGCUCAGAUUGAACGCUGGCGGCAGGCCUAACACAUGCAAGUCGAGCGGAAACGAGUUAUCUGAACCUUCGGGGAACGAUAACGGCGUCGAGCGGCGGACGGGUGAGUAAUGCCUAGGAAAUUGCCCUGAUGUGGGGGAUAACCAUUGGAAACGAUGGCUAAUACCGCAUGAUGCCUACGGGCCAAAGAGGGGGACCUUCGGGCCUCUCGCGUCAGGAUAUGCCUAGGUGGGAUUAGCUAGUUGGUGAGGUAAGGGCUCACCAAGGCGACGAUCCCUAGCUGGUCUGAGAGGAUGAUCAGCCACACUGGAACUGAGACACGGUCCAGACUCCUACGGGAGGCAGCAGUGGGGAAUAUUGCACAAUGGGCGCAAGCCUGAUGCAGCCAUGCCGCGUGUAUGAAGAAGGCCUUCGGGUUGUAAAGCACUUUCAGUCGUGAGGAAGGUGGURKWGUUAAUAGCASUAUCAUUUGACGUUAGCGACAGAAGAAGCACCGGCUAACUCCGUGCCAGCAGCCGCGGUAAUACGGAGGGUGCGAGCGUUAAUCGGAAUUACUGGGCGUAAAGCGCAUGCAGGUGGUUUGUUAAGUCAGAUGUGAAAGCCCGGGGCUCAACCUCGGAANAGCAUUUGAAACUGGCAGACUAGAGUACUGUAGAGGGGGGUAGAAUUUCAGGUGUAGCGGUGAAAUGCGUAGAGAUCUGAAGGAAUACCGGUGGCGAAGGCGGCCCCCU